rnacentral:rRNA from 1 species
UACAGAGGGUGCAAGCGUUGUUCGGAAUUACUGGGCGUAAAGCGCGUGUAGGCGGUUUUUCAAGUCUUGUGUGAAAGCCCUGGGCUUAACCCAGGAAGUGCGCAAGAUACUGGAGAGCUGGAGUGUCGGAGAGGAUGGCGGAAUUCCCGGUGUAGAGGUGAAAUUCGUAGAUAUCGGGAGGAACACCUGUGGCGAAGGCGGCCAUCUGGACGAUAACUGACGCUGAGACGCGAAAGCAUGGGGAGCAAACAGG